rnacentral:lncRNA from 1 species
CAAUCUCCUAUUUUCUUAUUGUUGUUAGUCUAAACCCCCUUUCAAAUAUGCAUUUGGUUGUUUCAUUAUUUCCAAAAUAAGUUGAAAAUAAAGUGUCACAGUGUAUUUCAUUAUAAAUUUCUUGAUUAGUAACAAUUCAGAUUUUAUUUGGAGACUUUUUAUAACCUCUUGUGAAAUAAAUUGACAAUAGUGAAAAACUCAGUCACCUUUGACCUAAUUAAAAAAAAUGAACCAUAUUUCAAUUCUACGACCAGGCAAAAAUUAAAGAAUAAACAUUUCUCUUUCCAAAAAGUCAUAAUUUAGCCUGCAGGUAGGGUUGUCCAUUGAAGUUGAAAAAUUGUUGGCUUGGUCACUCCAUUAUACGGAAUAACAAACAAUCUGUAGUGCUUUCAUUUUAAGUACAAAUCAAGUAAUGCAAAAAUACAGGUUCCUAAAUAUUACAAUAAUUUUGAAGUAACAAAAUAGUAUUUAAUCUUCCUAUAAUACAG